GGGGCUGUUUUAGUUUCGAUUGCGUUAUGAGGACGAAGUAAGCAUACCAAAGGCUCGGCUUUGUAAAAACGGAAACUUAAAUUUAAACGCAGAAUCAAAGAAUUUUAACAAAGUAGUAGCUUUCCCCACCUUCGGUGCUCAGAGCUACGCUUGCGCUGCUUAACAUAAGCAGUCCGUCGCAGCUUAUUGCUUCCGCACGGUAAGUUGCGGCGCUAAUUUAUGCGGAACCUUGCCGCGGAUUUAACCGCUGCCGCGGCGAUGUAUUUUGCGGUUUGCGUGUGCCAUAAGCCCGUCCGUCGGCUGACGGCACAUAAAGAUUAAUUGGCGGAAUAAGUAUGUAGAAAGCUCGUGCAAUUACCGUAAGACCGGGGUGCAAGUCCCCGCAGCUCCACCA
rnacentral:tmRNA from 1 species